GACGAACGCUGGCGGCGCGCCUAACACAUGCAAGUCGAACGAGAGAUGAAGAGCUUGCUCUUCAAAUCGAGUGGCGAACGGGUGAGUAACGCGUGAGGAACCUGCCUCAAAGAGGGGGACAACAGUUGGAAACGACUGCUAAUACCGCAUAAGCCCACGGCUCGGCAUCGAGCAGAGGGAAAAGGAGCAAUCCGCUUUGAGAUGGCCUCGCGUCCGAUUAGCUAGUUGGUGAGGUAACGGCCCACCAAGGCGACGAUCGGUAGCCGGACUGAGAGGUUGAACGGCCACAUUGGGACUGAGACACGGCCCAGACUCCUACGGGAGGCAGCAGUGGGGAAUAUUGCACAAUGGGGGAAACCCUGAUGCAGCGACGCCGCGUGGAGGAAGAAGGUCUUCGGAUUGUAAACUCCUGUUGUUGAGGAAGAUAAUGACGGUACUCAACAAGGAAGUGAC
rnacentral:rRNA from 1 species